CCUCAGUUUUUCAUUUUUCGCUUCGUUGCCGCUACCACCGCGUAGCAAAGUCACUUCCUUCCUGUUUCGAACAAUUAAACAUGUUGAAUGCAAAAUUGGAACCCGGAUGAAAGCCAGGCGCAUACUGACACCGGUGCGGACGAGGUAGAGGACUUUUAUUAGCGGGGUUGGACAAAGGGCAGUCGUAUCUACGGAACCGUGAACCUCCGAGGAGCAGGUGUUCAACAACACCGGGCUGCCCAGCAGCAGCAGCAGGAGCACCAGCAGCCCGCCCCCCCACCUCCCGUUUCAUCUCGAUCAUAAUCGGACUUCUGCCGGAGUAACGUGCCGGGCUCUUCGACUAGAAUCGUUGCAAAGAAAGUCGGAAAUGCCAUUCCAGGCGGCUGAUGUUCCUGUAUCUGCUGCAUGACUAGCAAUCCCCGUGUUUCGAUUUUGGCUCGUUGGCUUUUACCAAAGAGGCUUGUACAAUACAUUAUGUUAAAUAUGGAGGAGGAAGGGCGCGCGCGCGCCACGCGACAAACGACCCCUCCAGAAUUCAAAAGGCACCACCAUACCUGUACUCGAGCAGAAACGAGAAACUCGUCCCCGGCGGGCUUUGGCGUCUAAUUUUUCUCCUCCCUUUCUCCUGCCGGACGCCCGGGACAUAGUUAUGCUCGCCACCCGACCGAAAACCGCAGGCUGCAACCGUAAAGUUGUGGGACCAAAUGAAGCCCGCUGGCCGGCACACGAGUCAAGAUCAUCUUGACUCAAACUGGUGCGGGCCGAAGGGAUCAGAUAAAUAAUUACGGGAUGGACUAACCAGACGGCAGACGCCCCAUCGGCCAUCAACAAAGUUAAGCCAGUGAGGGGGAAGAAAUCUUUUCAUCUGUUGUACCGCAGCAGCUGAUACUUUCAGCCUGUUCUCAACUAUGAAGGAAAAAAGAAGAGCAGAAAAUAAAAAUAAAGAAUGAAAAGCAAAAAAGGAGAAUGUUUUCCUCACCGGGAAGAUAUAAAAAAAUCUUUUUUUUACCCCUCGUCGAUCAGGAAUUCCGUCACCGCAGCGUUCCACCUGCGCCGACCAGAAGAGAUUGACUCUUCAGUUUCAUACCCUUCCUCUUGAAAAUUGUUCCUCAAACUCUCGUUACGCCGAUUUUGCCACAGCGGUUGAUAAAAAUCAGCUGCAGUGAAAUACGUCGAUUUUUAUUUAUCGUCGAUAAAUUUAAUCGUUCGUUAAAUUCAGGCCUGAAAUUUUCAAAAGAUGGACAUUAUUGCACCCCCAAGUUUAUACAAUGCGCGUUAUUCGCUCCUUUGUA
rnacentral:lncRNA from 1 species